GAUGAACGCUGGCGGCGUGCCUAAUACAUGCAAGUCGAGCGAACAGACGAGGAGCUUGCUCCUCUGACGUUAGCGGCGGACGGGUGAGUAACACGUGGAUAACCUACCUAUAAGACUGGGAUAACUUCGGGAAACCGGAGCUAAUACCGGAUAAUAUAUUGAACCGCAUGGUUCAAUAGUGAAAGACGGUUUUGCUGUCACUUAUAGAUGGAUCCGCGCCGCAUUAGCUAGUUGGUAAGGUAACGGCUUACCAAGGCAACGAUGCGUAGCCGACCUGAGAGGGUGAUCGGCCACACUGGAACUGAGACACGGUCCAGGCUCCUACGGGAGGCAGCAGUAGGGAAUCUUCCGCAAUGGGCGAAAGCCUGACGGAGCAACGCCGCGUGAGUGAUGAAGGUCUUCGGAUCGUAAAACUCUGUUAUUAGGGAAGAACAAAUGUGUAAGUAACUAUGCACGUCUUGACGGUACCUAAUCAGAAAGCCACGGCUAACUACGU
rnacentral:rRNA from 1 species